rnacentral:rRNA from 1 species
AGAGUUUGAUCAUGGCUCAGAACGAACGUUGGCGGCGUGCUUAACACAUGCAAGUCGAACGAGAAAGUUUUCUUCGGAGAACGAGUAAAGUGGCGCACGGGCGAGUAACGCGUAAGUAAUCUACCCUUGCAUUCGGGAUAACUACGGGAAGCUGUAGCUAAUACCGGAUACGUUCAUAGAGUUACGACUCUAUGAAGAAAGAUGACCUCUUCUUGAAAGUUAUCGUGCAGGGAGGAGCUUGCGUACCACUAGCUAGUUGGUAGGGUAAAGGCCUACCAAGGCAACGAUGGUUAGCGGGUCUGAGAGGAUGAUCCGCCACACUGGAACUGAAACACGGACCAGACUCCUACGGGAGGCAGCAGUGAGGAAUAUUGCGCGAUGGGGGAAACCCUGACGCAGCGACGCCGCGUGGAUGAUGAAGGCCUUCGGGUCGUAAAAUCCUGUCAGAUGGGAAGAAAUGCAUAGGGGAAUAAUACCUCUUAUGUUGACGGUACCAUCAA